AUUGAACGCUGGCGGCAGGCCUAACACAUGCAAGUCGAGCGGAUGAAGGGAGCUUGCUCCUGGAUUCAGCGGCGGACGGGUGAGUAAUGCCUAGGAAUCUGCCUGGCAGUGGGGGAUAACGUCCGGAAACGGGCGCUAAUACCGCAUACGUCCUGAGGGCGAACGUGGGGGAUCUUCGGACCUCACGCUAUCAGAUGAGCCUAGGUCGGAUUAGCUAGUUGGUGGGGUAAAGGCCUACCAAGGCGACGAUCCGUAACUGGUCUGAGAGGAUGAUCAGUCACACUGGAACUGAGACACGGUCCAGACUCCUACGGGAGGCAGCAGUGGGGAAUAUUGGACAAUGGGCGAAAGCCUGAUCCAGCCAUGCCGCGUGUGUGAAGAAGGUCUUCGGAUUGUAAAGCACUUUUAGUUGGGAGGAAGAGCAGUAAGUUAAUACCUUGCUGUUUUGACGGUACCAACAGAAUAAGCACCGGCUAACUUCGUG
rnacentral:rRNA from 1 species